GGGCGACGUUGAGCAGCUGUCGGCAUAGUAGAGCUUGGACAAACUGCGUAAACUGGUAGGAUUCCUUACGGGACAUUACCAGUUUAACAAACAUCUACAUACGAUAGGGGUAGUAACAGACCCAAUCUGUCGUGGAUGCAAUGAAGAAGAGGAAACA